UUGAAAUGCACUGGGCCUCACUCAGGGAUCAGCAAUGGCUUUUGUCUCUGGCCUGGACUGCAGGGAUCUGGCUGUGCCUAGAUGUGAAGAGGCAAUGCACAGUAAGGAAGAAGGCACAUGUGCGGGCGUGCAAGCUUGGGCAGGUGCACAUGGAGCCAGCAAGGAUUCUCCAGGGAGCCACCAUCACCCUGAUAUCCAGCGGGAGCUGGUCUGAGCUACGUUACUCCCAAGCCCUGCUAGCUGGCUCCCCAGGAAAGCAAGAACUCACACAAAUGACUCUUGGGCGUUUGUGGAAGAGCUGAGUCCUCAUCACUUCCUGUGGGCCUUUCUGAGCAUAAUAAGAUCCUCUCUCUUGCAUCAGCCAACCCAGGAGCUGCUGAUAAACCAUGGCACAAGCUUGAGCCAGAGUUGACCUUAACCAUUGACAGCCCACUGAGCACUCAUCAUGUGCUAAGCAUUAUCUCAUUAAACCUUCACCACAAUCCUGCAAGGUAGGUGCUGUGUUACCCCAUUUUACAGAUGAGGGGAACCAAGGCCUACAGUUCCACAGCAGAUAAUCUGCAGCAGAAAAAUUCAACCUCCAGGCAAUUCUGAAUGUAGUCAUUGGUGACGGAAGAAAAUAUUUGUCUCUGAAAGCCAUCCGUGGAGAUCAUAAAAUCAUUCCUACAUCUUGCCUUGAGCUAGCAGAAUGAAAUUGCCCAGAGUGGAAAAAGUCAAAAUGUUCUUUUUGAGAGCUUGGCUUUCCUGUGGGUGAUUUUCCAAGGUGGGUACUUCAUUGACCAACAUUUGAGUGUGACAACAGCAUCCAGCACGGACGGUCAGUACUAGCUACUACCUACAGACAAACUCCCGCAGCAAGCCUUAGAGAAUAUGCUGACUUUAUUAUAUUCUCACUUGAAACAUCCUAAGAAGGUCCACACAUUCCUUUGGGGUCAUGAGACCAUGGCAGGGGUUGGGGGCGAGGGUUGGAUUUCUGUGUAGAAUUGAAUCCUCCACAUGAUGGCACAGGGUGGUCAUUGGGGAGAGCUGGGAGCCUUUGGCUACCCUGUCUUAGCCAUGAUUUCCAGCACUGAGCAAAUGAGAGCUAAUUUUAGGUGACAUCUGGACAAGGCUUUACCUCACACUGCACCCUGCAGUGACACCACAAAGUGUCUUUUCAAUUUUCAGUCCUUCUGAACAUAGGAAGGAUAAAUUCUCAGUUUUGUAAACUUAUAUCUGCACUCAUGAGAAAAGACGGGUACCGGUUUCUGAUUUGGAGGUAUUAGGCUUUAAUUGCUUUGUAAAACAUGCCAGCCUCCCCUCCACCCAUAAUUACUCUAUGGCAGUUUUAAAGGUAGGAGGAAAUUUUAUUUAAAAACAGAUUGGUGUAUUUCUCUCACAUUCUAUGGUGUCUUUGGUUGGGCAAGAAUGCACUGGCACAGUGCUCUGCUCCUCCAGGAUUCGGUGCAAUGGCUAAGGCAGGACGUGAGGCUGGCUACGCUCUGUUCAUUACUGCUUCCUCAAAAAUCACACUGAACCAAGACCAUGGCCACGGAGACUAGGAAUGCUGUCAUCCUCCCCCGUCCUCACUCCUGUGAGGCCUGGCCUCCUGAGUCUGCCCACUUUGUAACAAGUAUUAUGAAUGGUUGGGAGAAAAGCAGCAGCCUUGGUUUUAAGCAGGGCCAGUGAUGUAAUGACCUCGUAUCUUUAAGGUUCAGUUCCUCACCUCAGGCCAAGGGGCUCCUGUUCUCUUACUUCUGGAAGGUGGGGUCUAGUUCACCCCUGCAGCCUGCUGAAGCUGUGUGCUCCAAGGGCCAGGAAUGGAUGGAGCAGGUGCAGAUGGGAUGGGUGAUGCAGCGAUAGCAGCCGCGGCACUGAGAUCGUGUCACACCCCCCAUUUCUCCAGGAGUGUCUCCUCCUGUGGGCAGGUACAGACAUCAUGCCUGGUACCAGGUUAAAGCUCUGCACACACAUUGUCUCUUUUAUUCUGCAUCCAAGCUUCAAAGGUUGGGAUCAUCAUCUGUGCACUGCAGGUGAGGAAACUGUAGCUGGGACAGGCAAAGCCCAGUCAGCUCACUGACUGCAGUGAAAUAUGCCAUUUGAUCCUGUUCACUCCUAUAGAUAGCAUGCUCUUCCAGAGAUGCAGGCUGGAGCGGGUCCCCCGGACAGUUUCUACCCAUGGCAGCAUCAGCACUGAAGUUACACCUUUGACUCAGCCAACAUCUCAGAGCUCACGUUUCCCAAGCAGCCUUGGGUCCACACAGCGACUCCCCUUGACGCUUGCAGGCCUCAGAACUCGCUGAGCUCAGUUCUCCUGAUUGGUCUUCAAGACAGUACAAGGUAGAAAUUCAGCUGGGGCCAGGUCGUCAUGAAGUCAUCCAACUCUGACCUUUAAUAUCAUCGUUAAGUGAAUGAUACACAUGCAAAUGUUGGUUGGGCGGGCUAUGUUCAAAGUGUUAGAUACUGAGGUCUUGAAUCUUUCACAGUUUUGGCAUGGCUGGCUUAACAUUUCUGCAUUUGUUAAUGAACAGAAACCAUCAUUAGAAAGAAAGCAGGAUACAGGCUAACCAGUGAAGGUCUGGGACAUAACCUAGUGGUCACCUUUGCUCAUCUCUGACUGGGACUUUGUGCUUUUGGGCUCCCUAGAGAGGCCAUCUUGAUUAGAGGCGUAGGCCUGGAGAUAGGGGGCACUCUAGUAAGGAAAGUUCAUGAUUACCACCAGGUAGCACUACAAAUCAACCAUGAACCCUUGUUCUUGAGAGAGGGAAGACUGUGGCAGGUAAGAGAGCUAGAGACCAGCUUGGGUCGCUCAGGCUCCACUCUCCCACUGAGCGGUACCUCCCCUCCCCUCCCAUCUCCACACCAAGCUUCCCAUGUGGUGGCCCUGACCUGUGUGAAUCCAUCAUGGAGAGCAACUGGAGAGCGGGUUAGUGCCACAUGGGAGGGGAAGGCUCCCUGGUGUGUAUGGUAGGCUUUCAGGUGCUUACCGACCCCAGCACUUGACCAGAAGAAGCCUCAGUCCCUUUCCUAGCAUGACCCCUUUGUCCUUCAAGAUCAUUUGCCUCUAUUUACACUAAAUAGAGGCAGCUCCAUUUUUGAGUUCCUGUAUUUUGGGCAAGCCAAGCUGGAGGUCCCCACAGCCGGUCCAAGCAGGCCUCAGCUGUCCUGGAGAUGGUCACGUGGAAGGCGCUCCCAAGCCCGCUCCUCUGACAAAGUUUAGCAAACAGCUUAUCUCCCAGAAAACACGUGAGGAUCAGAGCCACACUGGAGAGAAGGUAUUGGAGAUGUUCUGAGGAAGCCACAAUCAUUUCCUCUCUGAUGCUCUCAGAUACCUGGGCAGCUCCAACACGCGCUGUGAAGCACAGUCAUGGUGAAUGGAUGAAGCCCAGAUUUUGAUGUCUGAGAGCCACACCGGGGCUGCCCCAAUGACUUCUAUCCAAAACUGAUGACCACAGACUCCCUUGGUGGUGCCAGAGGAGAGGUAUUUUCUUUCCUGCUCUUUGUGAGUGUGACAGAUUUUAAAUAACGUACAUGUCUAGCAGCUUGGACGUGGUUAAAUGUGUUCCGUUUCGGCUCAUGAUGGAGUAAUGUGCAUUAAGAACAAACCGUAAAUCUCACCUUUCCACAACCAACACUAUGGUAAAACAGCCAAGCAGAUCCUGCAGUCAGGGUUCCUCAGGGCUGAGUGUGGAGAAAUCAGGCCAGCACAUGACAAAAUGUUAACACUCACGGCUACAAAGCUUGCAUCGUUUUUCAACAUUUUUUUUCCAUUUCCAAAAUGCCAUUUUCAUUGUAAACAUUUUAUAAAUAAUGAUCUCAAUUUUUGUAGGGGAAUAAAAGCAAAGUGAUGCAUUUGGGUGAUAGGAUCACAAUUUAUUUUUAUGUAUUAGUUUAUUUUGUUUUUAGAAACAGGGUAUUAGUAUGUAUCCCAGAACAGUCUUGAGCAUGCUACAUAGCCCUGGCUGGUCUCAAACUCACAGUGGUCCUUCUGCCUUGUCCUCUGGAAUGAUGGAAUUACCAGUGUUUGCUGCCUUGCCUGGUUUUCCCCAUGACUUUAUAGUUCCUAAAUUUUAGGCAUUUUUUUGUGUUUACUGUUAUACUGGGCAUCCUAUUUGACAUGGUUUUAAAAAUACAGGUGGAAAGGGAAAGAGAUCCAUUGCUAAGCAGCCCAUGUUUCAGGCUCCCCUUGACUCAUUCCUGGCCAUUGGUUGGGUUGUUAUUUUAUGAGCUUCUCAGAUGUUCAGGUCAGCUGACCCUGGGGAGUAGUGUGGUGCAAGAAACGUUAAGGAGGAAACGAUACCAGCCCAUGAGUGGGGUCAGACACGGUCUAGCUGGGGAGACAUACAAAUUACAGGUGUCACCCUAAAGUUUCUUAAGAGUAAACUUAGCAGUGUCUGUGACUUCGAAGUCACCCCAUCUGCUCCCCUCCAUUCCUGCUCCCUUCAGCUGCCUUUUCUGUGAAUGUAAGCGAUGUCAUCCUGUCAUUGUGAAGAUCUAAUGAUGCCUUGUGCUAAAGGUUGAGCAAAGCCCAUCUCCAGUGUGGGUCAUAUGAUAAAUGUCAUGUUAAAGGUGCGUAUGACCAACCAACAGCAAGCCAGGGCCCCGAUGUGCAGAGCUGCCUUUGGCUCACUGCAGAGCUGGUGGCUAUGAUCCCAGCAGGCAAUCUAUUUCCCUUCUGUGUCUAACUGAAAUGUGUUCUGAACCUCGCCAUAUGGCCUUGCAGAAGGAACAGGCAACUUCUCAUUCAAAGAUCAAAAGAUAAAUUAAUCUGCUACAAUGAACAGGACAGGAAGGCAGCCCUUUUGCUUUAUUCUGUAUGUUGUGACUCGGUCUACACUGCUGCUGGGGCUCUUGGUACAGAAAAGUCCUUCUGAAGCCCAUUGUAGUGACAGAGCCUCACUUGGUUUGACUUCUCACUGUGGGUUUGAGCCAUAGGCAAAGGCCCUGCUGUGCAGAAGGUCAUGACCUAAGAGCAGAAGGAAAGGACAGGAAAUGGCUGUGCAUAGGGAACAGACCGAGGGAUCUGUAACAAAGCAAAGAUCCUCUAAGUAAGCUUGGGAGUCUAGGACACCAUCCUGCAAGAGGGAGCUCAGAGAUAAAAUCAGGGGGGGAAAUCCAUAUAGGUGUUCACAUCGUUCCAUAGAGGUGUUCACAUCAUUCCACAUCGAUAUUGAUUUGUGUCUGUCCUUUGGAUCAUUGACUUUAGAAAUCUACCUCCAUCCACUGACAAGCCAUCCUGCCACGUGCUAGACAUCGGUGUGAAGGAGAAGAACACAGAGACCAUUCCUGAACAAGGAAGGUGUGCAGGAGAAUGGAACAGGGGCCAAGACUGUACUUCAGAGAGAUGGGAGGCCAGACAUUAUGACCAGACCUGGUGGCAGCUAGAACAGUUUACUAGACCCUUGGAUUCCAAGAACAGAGGCAUUCACUCUGCAGUAUGCUCAAAGACAGAGCGGGAAGUGUUGUCAGAAACAGGCAACAAAGCUAUUCCCAAUUCAUUACCUCCAGGGUUCAGGGUUCCCAGCAGGAGAAUGUAUCUCUAGAAGCAGUCUGUGGAGGCAAUGUCUUCUUCACUGAGCUCUUCAAAUAGCAUCAUGUGUGCUCUUUUACUGCAUUGCUCCCAUUGUUUGAAGUCAGUGGUGUUCACUGAUUAAGAACUGUUAUUUUUUACAACUCACAGACACGUGUACCCAGAUGCUUUCUUGACCACAAGCCCCAAAUUGCCUGGUUAUGCAACCCCAGAAUCUAUGCUAGUCUGAGAAAGGACUGUGACUCAGGGUCCAUUUUACACUGGCAUCUGGGAGCCCAGGAGGCCUCUGUGGAUCACGGCUCCCCACUUCAUAGUCUAAUCAGAAGUGCCUUGUCCGCUGUGUAUUGACUGCAGUUUCCUGAUGCUAAGUCAGUGCUGUUGGCAGUGACUUGAAGAAGCUGUCAUGCAAAUCAAAUGGUGACAAAGAAGAAUGAAGAACGGAUGAAAACAGAUAGGAUAAAGGUGUGGUGGUGACAGCGGCAGGCACACUGAACUCACAGGGGGGAAGGACAUGGUGGUGGGUGAUGCUCAGGGAGCUGCUGUCAGCAUAGCUCUCCUCCUCAUGGGUGUGUGGUUUGGGAGAUUAAGGUUCAGUUUUCCUAUUUGUAAAAAAUGAAGGCACUGCGAGGGUCUCCAUCACCAAGUUAGUAAGUUACUUACUUUGCUUGUUGGUUGGUUUUGUUUUCCAGAGUAGGGUUUCUCUGUAUAGUCCUGAC